GGGCCUGUAGCUCAGUUGGUAGAGCGCGUGCUCGGCAGGCACGAGGUCAGGGGUUCGAUUCCCCUCAGGUCCA
rnacentral:tRNA from 1 species